GCCUCCUCCUCCGCGCCGUUGCUGGGGCAGCCGCUGUCAAUAGCCCCCGCGCGCCGCGGCGGCCCCUUUAAGCGUAGCGUGGCAACGGCCACCGAGUCCGCAGGGCAGGUACCGGCAGCGGCGCGGCGCGGCCCGGCAGGGGGGCCGCGGGCGGGGGGGGUUGUCCUGGGGCUGGGGGAGCGGGUCCGGGCCUGGGCUUGGCCUUCCGGGGGGACGCGGUACUCGAUCCCGACGUGCCCUGAGGGCCGGGUCCAGCGGCUCGGCCCCGGGGCUGGCGGCUGCGCCCCCGGGCACCCAGCGGCGGGGUUCGGGCGUGGAGGAGAGGUGUUGGCCCAGCACCGGCGGGUGUCAGGCAGCAGGCUUUCCGAAAAGCGGUGUGUGCGGGGCCGCAAGUGGUCAGUGCCUUCCUCAGAAGUCGUUUGUUGUAGGGUUAAGUGAUUGCACUUAAAAUGUACUCUCACAUGCAGUUAGUUGUUUUAAAAAGCGUUAAUUAAAAAUAACGUUUGAUCUGUACUUUAAGAGCUUCUCGCCAGUGAAGGAGAAUCACUCGCUCACACGGUGGGAGCUGGAGAGCGGCUUUUGGGAGCGGCUGAGUUGAACUACGUAAGUCCACACACAGCAGAGGCACAGGUGGGAAUGUGAAUGGGGGCACGGGCCUCCUUGGUGGAGGGUUUAGAAACAUCAUCUCUCCUCCUGGCUGCAGGACUGCCUGCAUGUUACCUGUUUGGACUACCGGUUCCUCAUCUCUGAGCUGGGGCUUACAGCAACCUUUUCAUUUUGAGAUCUGUUGAUGAAAGUAACUCUGAAGUAUUACUGUCAGAUACGUUUAACAUUGGCUUUUAAAACCAGAGAGCAUUUUAAUUCACCAAAAGCUGUUAAACCUAGAAGAAAUGAAUAUAGUUAAGUCAGCAGGUGCAGAAAGCUUCCCUAAUAAAUACUUGCUACUCAGUAAAGCCUCAUCAGUGAGUAUGUUUUGAUGUGAUACAAGUAAAUCUCUUUUCUGGAAAAACUCUGGUAUUUGGAUGUGAAAAAUAUGGGUGGAGGGAGAGGAGGAAUGCAAAGUUAUAGUUAGGUUAAAGUUAUUCUUUGCUCUUUAAUAAGUUCAGCACUUUAAUAAUUUGGAUUGAUGCUGUUGUAUUUGUCUGAAGCUGCCUCUCUCUUGUGCUGUGCCUCUCUCAGAAUAGGUGGAAAAACUGAUUGAACCGUUAGAGGUCAGCAUUUGUACUCGGAAAUGUCACGUGGUGACCAGUAAAGGCAUUUAGCUUCCUCUGAUAUCAGAAGGGUCUUAAGAUUGAAAAGGGCUUGAAAAGUUUCAUAAGUCUUGUAUUGCAGAACUAAGCUCUGGGUGUCCUGUGAGGGAACUGGGUAAUUUUCCUUUCUCUCUAUUGCUUAAUACCUGUAAUCCAGUAGUUCAAUUUCUGCCUAUGUGAGUUACUUAGGAGUGAUAGGGGGACAGUAUUCUGUCACCACUGGUAGUGGUUUGUGUUCUCUGUUUUGUCUGUCACAUCCUUUGCAGUGACCUAGAGCUUGACUGUUUUUUUGUGAUAAUGACCAUGUUUUCAAUACCAGAUAUGUAAGUAAUAGCAAUAGAUAGAAGCAAAAGAAUGUGAAAUUCUGGAAACAAAACUAUUUCUGAAGUUUGUGCAAGUCCCGGAUUUACUUCGGCCGUUCUAUACUGAUGCAUUAGGCUUCCAAAAGCAUGUGUGGAGUAUUUGAGAGGAGGGGCUUGGGGUUUUGGUGGUGGUGGAGCUUAGUAGACCCACUGCUAACCCACAAUGUUUGACUCCUCAGCAGCUUA
rnacentral:lncRNA from 1 species